rnacentral:rRNA from 1 species
CCUACGGGAUGCAGCAGUCGAGAAUCAUUCACAAUGGGGGAAACCCUGAUGGUGCGACGCCGCGUGGGGGAAUGAAGGUCUUCGGAUUGUAAACCCCUGUCAUGUGGGAGCAAAUUAAAAAGAUCGUACCACAAGAGGAAGAGACGGCUAACUCUGUGCCAGCAGCCGCGGUAAUACAGAGGUCUCAAGCGUUGUUCGGAAUCACUGGGCGUAAAGGGUGCGUAGGCUGUUUCGUAAGUCGUGUGUGAAAGGCGCGGGCUCAACCCGCGGACGGCACAUGAUACUGCGAGACUAGAGUAAUGGAGGGGGAACCGGAAUGCUCGGUGUAGCAGUGAAAUGCGUAGAUAUCGAGAGGAACACUCGUGGCGAAGGCGGGUUCCUGGACAUUAACUGACGCUGAGGCACGAAGGCCAGGGGAGCGAAAGGGAUUAGAUACCCUUGUAGUC